rnacentral:rRNA from 1 species
AAUUAUUGGUGAGGGUUGUAGCUGGCCUUUCGAGGCAUGUGCACGCUCGAGCCCUUAAUCCACUUUACACCUGUGCACUUAAUGUAGGUCGCCCUUAAAAAGGUGACCUAUGUCUUAUCAUCAACCCAUCGUAUGUCUCAUAGAAUGUAAUCGAUAUCCUCGCCCUAAAAAAGCGUUGAUAAACUUAUACAACUUUCAACAACGGAUCUCUUGGCUCUCGCAUCGAUGAAGAACGCAGCGAAAUGCGAUAAGUAAUGUGAAUUGCAGAUUUUCAGUGAAUCAUCGAAUCUUUGAACGCACCUUGCGCUCCUUGGUAUUCCGAGGAGCAUGCCUGUUUGAGUGUCAUUAAAUUCUCAACUCCAAGGGUUUCACGACCUUUCGGAGAUUGGACUUGGAGGUGCUGGCCGCAUAUUGGUCGGCUCCUCUCAAAUGCAUCAGCGGAAUUCAACCUUUGGCUUCCGGAUGUCAGUGUGAUAAUCAUGUUGCGCUGUCGUUUGAUCCCUCAGAGUCCGCUUAUAAUGGUCUUCGGACAAAAUCAUCAUCAAAUUUGACCUCAAAUCAGGUAGGACUACCCG